rnacentral:rRNA from 1 species
UACCAGCACCCCGAGUGGUCGGGACGAUUAUUGGGCCUAAAGCAUCUGUAGCCGGUUUUACAAGUCCUCCGUUAAAUCCAGCUGCUUAACAGAUGGGCUGCGGAGGAUACUAUAAGACUAGGAGGCAGGAGAGGCAAGCGGUACUCAGUGGGUAGGGGUAAAAUCCGUUGAUCCAUUGAAGACCACCAGUGGCGAAGGCGGCUUGCCAGAAUGCGCUCGACGGUGAGGGAUGAAAGCUGGGGGAGCAAACCGG